rnacentral:lncRNA from 1 species
CCACUUACCUCUGUCGGCAAAAUCUAAGCCGUCCAUUUGUAUCAAUCUGUUACAUUUAAUGUAUCCCCUCGCCUAUAAAAGGCAAGCCCAUCUUUUAGAGAAGGCAUCCGAAAAUUUCCUACUAUAAGAAAUUCUCUCUGCCCAUUCUCUCUCAUGUAUAAACGUUGUAAUGUUUUCUGAAGUUUCAAUAAAUCUUUGUAAGUUUAAAUUCUUGGCUUAUUUAAUUCUUAA